UUGACGAAGCUGUCUUUGGAGCCACUGAUCAAGAUAUUGUGUUGGGACAUGAAUGCGAUUUGGGUAAUUGGGCCCUUGUGACCUGAGAGUCUACAAAGCCCAGUUUCGGCCACCGUAUCCCACACGAUAACGUCCGUGUCCUAUCCUGAGGCCAAUUUGUGUCCGUAACUAUCGAAAGCCAAAGUUGUGACUUCUGACCGAUGGCCUGAGAAAAUGCUAAUCACUUCGGCCGACUUCAAAUCGUAGACUUGGACGUUGCCAUCGGAGUAACCGACCGCUAGGUGUCUUUUAUUGGGGCUGGCACAGAUGGCUGUCACUGUGGCCUUUUCUCCUGGGAGCACCUGAGCCUGGAAGAAUGUGCAUCACGGAAUGGCUGUUAACCAAGAAAUACAAACUUUCUCCCCGAGUCGCAAGUCCCAAAUUAUCACAUGUUCGCAUGCACCGACCGCCACAAAUCUUCCUUCUUGUCCUUCAAGUGUGACAAAUUUGAGAUUGCAGUUUUGGCUCGCGAUUAUAUUAAAGUUGCCGGCCGGGACGUAUCUUAGGUAUUGCUUUGUUAAACCCAUCUUGUAACUGUGUGGAACUGAAUUUUUUUUCACAUGCCGUUUGUAAAAAGUUAGGUUAAGUUAAACAUAACCACACAAAAAUUGGUUAAUUAUAUUUAUGUCAAAAUUUGAGUUGUGGCGUCAUCUAGCGCAAUAGAUAUGAGUGUACUAGAUACUCUAUGGAAAACUGUAAUUACAUAGUCAUUAUUACAGAUUCCAGUAAAAAAAUAUUGUGUUGACAUUUUACAGGAACCUGUUAUUAAACAAUCACUAUUACAGAUUCCUGUAAAAAAGGUUGUCUGUUAGAUACUUUACAGGAAACUAAUUACUACAGAUUUCUGUAAAAAAUAUUGUGUCAAGAUUUUUUAAUAAUUGUUCACGUUAUUAGAAAUCCAACAAAACCGAAAAUUUUGUAUCAGGAUAACUCACUUUUCGGUAGGAAAAAAUAUGUACAAAUUGUUGUAGUAUAUAAUUAUAAUUAAUAGUCGCUUUGGCACUCAAUAAAGUAUACAAUUUUCUAUCAAA